ACAGAAUCUUGACUGCCUGGGAGGAUCCACAGCCAACAGUUUUAGGGACUAUUUCAACUGCAGAAAGUAGAUCGCAUGAAAAGGGAGCGAGAGGAAGAAGAAGACUGUUGUCUCCCCCAGUACGAAUGAAUUCACACAUUCCAAGGACGAACCAGGGAGGUAGGAGUGGUGGGUGUGUGUGUGUGUUGGUGUAUUCACGGUGCGGAGGAGUCUGGUGUGCA